CGGCAGAGCAAGACGUAGUUUCAUCGUGUUGAGCUGGUAACUCCUCUAAAAGUUAGUUCCAGGUAUUUUUCUUUGUUUUUUUUGCACUGUGGAGACUUUUCCCGCUGAGAAAGCAGAGAUAAACUGCUGAGUGAUAUCUCUCUUUCUGUUUUCCGUUGGAUUAAGCUCCGGUUGUGUUUUUGUACUGUUGAAGUAGAUGCUGAACGGUGAGCCAGAUUCCAGUGAGCUUCGUAAAGUGAGGAGUGGAUCAGCGUGGAGGGUGGCAGACCAGUGGCGUAGUCUAGUUUUUUCUAGACUAGUGCUGUUAUUGCCUCAUCUGAAGUUCAACCAUUUGAAGAACGUUGGUGUAAAGCAGCAUGAACUUGAUCACUCUGGGAUCACAGGACUGGUGUCUGAGACCUGGUUUUAAAGAUCAUCAUUACAAAUCACUUUAUAAGUGAAAGAAGCUCUCCUCUCUCAGAUGACAGACAUGACUGGCUUCUUAUCAGCAUGUGCAGAAAGAUACCACAACAAAACAGAACAGAAAAUGAAAAUAAGUUCAGCCCAUCCUGUCCCUACAGGUUGGAAAUGCUGUGUUUAGUUUACGGCUCUCAAACCCUCCAUACCUCGGUGGUAAAGAGCGGUGAGGAACCCCGGCCGGUCGUUGCCCUGAAACAGC